AUCUUUUCCUCCGUAGAUUCCUUUUUUAUUGCCUAAUUAUUUUUGGUGCUUUUUCCUGAAAUUUCUCUCCAUUUUCAAGAGCAGCCAACAGCUCUACCCUAUGCCAAGAGAAGUGAAAUGCUUAUACUCAGCUCUUCCACAUCAAACUUCUGCCAACACCUCUCAUGGCAUAUCUUCACUAUGACAAAAACAAUGAGGGAAUAAAUUCAUCUUCAAUUUGUUAUGUCUUCUCUGUUUCUCCUGGCUUUGAAUAUUCCAUCUGGUUACCCUAGAAGCGGGAUUUUUUUUUCCUCUGUGCCAUCACCAAAGUUGCAAACCAAAUGACUGCCUGUCAGCAGCUUGUUCCACCUGCCAAAUUGUGGAAUAUACUUGCUUUGCUAACUGAAAAAAUACUGAUGAGAAAAGACCUGGAUUCAGUGACCUAAGCCAAAAAUAGCUACAGGCAAAAAAAAUCAAUCAUCUGAGAUUCUCAGUAGGCAGCAAAGAACUCCAAAAUAGCUUUUCAUCUCGUGAACUUUCUCUGAAAGAUUAGCUCAUGAUUCUAUAGCAUCAGUUCCUGAAAUUCAUGUGCUAGAGAUACAAUUCUUGUAUGCCUUUUCUAAGAAGUUUCUCUUGAAACAGUAGAUAGAUGGAGGAUAUAGCUUUUGCAGUAUAAUAAGAAAAUGAGGUCUCGGAUUUUUAACAGUUUGAAAACUGGAUUAUACACAUACAUACACACAUAUACACACACAUAUGUAUCUAUAUAUAUCACAAUACUUUUUGUGAUUUUGGUAAAUAGGUAUCCCAGAACUCUGAUCCCUGAGAAGGGAAACAAAGUGAGAACAAAAAUCACUUUUGUUUUCUGCUAGAGGAACCUGGGGUGGAGAUCCUGAAAUGAGUUAAAUGAUCCAUUUCAGGAGACAGAGAACACAAGUUCAGAGAAGAGGUAAGGUAGCUGGACUUAGCAGAACGGAAUGAAAGAGAGGCGAGAGCUAUGUAGAAGUCAUUGAGGCUAAGGAGAGAUAGUUCGACAGUAGUAAGCAGAAAAUCUCCCAUUUCUUAAACAGGGUGGGGAAAUGUUGAAGUUCCGUUCAGCCAGAAUCCUCAUUUACCACGUAGAACACUCCACAGACACAUCAGAGAGGUCAUAUUUUAGGAUAGCUACAUAGCCCAAUAUAAAGACUGCUUCCAUCUAGACUUCCAUAACAAAGCUCUUAAAGAAGCUAUUCAAAGGGGCCUGAACUGUGGUGUAAUAGGCUAAGCUUCCACCUGUGGUGCUGACAUCCUAUAUGGGCUCCGGUUCCUAUCCUGGCUGCUCCACUUCUGAUCUAGCUCUCUGCUGUGGCCUGAGAAAGCAGUAGAAGAUGGCCCAAGUGCUUGGGCCCCUGCAGCCCCUUGGGAGACCCAGAAGAAGCUCCUGGCUCCUGGCUACAGAUUGGCCCAUCUAUAGCCAUUGUGGCCAUUUGGAGAGUGAAACAGUGGAUGAAAGACCUUUCUCUCUCUCUCUCUCUCUCUUUCUCUCUCUUUCUAACUCUGCCUCAUAAGUAAAUAAAAUCUUUAAAAAAAGAAACCAUGCAAGGAUCAAGUUAACCAGCAAGUAAGUAACUACCUCUCCAAAAAAUAUCCAAUACAUUAUUAAAGGCUGAAACAAAAUCCAGAAUUAAAGAAUGUGAAAAUAACCAUGGCUAACAUCUAAUAAAAUAUACUUAAUCAAUAAAAUACUUUAAGACAGCUAUAAUUCAUAAUACUAUAAAGAUGUAAUAGAAAACAUGGGAAAUAUGACAAGAGAAUUUUAAAUUUUAAAUAAAGAACUUGAGGCAGAAACAAACAAUAUAGGCAAUGUUUGUUGGAAGAGAUUAACAGCACAUGAUGUACCUCAAAAGAGAAAAAAAAAUCAAAGAAUUUUUUUUUGACAGGCAGAGUGGACAGUGAGAGAGAGACAGAGAGAAAGGUCUUCCUUUUCCAUUGAUUCACCCCCCAAUGGCCGCUGUGGCCGGCGCACCGCGCUGAUCUGAAACCAGGAGCCAGGUGCUUCCUCCUGGUCUCCCAUGUGAGUGCAGGGCCCAAGCACUUGGGCCAUCCUCCACUGCACUCCCGGGCCACAGCAGAGAGCUGGACUGGAAGAGGGGCAACCAGAACAGAAUCUGGCGCCCCAACCAGGACUAAAACCUGAUGUGCUGGUGCCGCAGGCAGAGGAUUAGCCUAUUGAGCUGCUGCGCAGGCCAAAAUCAAUGAAUUUUAAGAUCUGUGAAGAAACUCUAUCCAGAAUGAAAUUCAGAGGAAAAGUCCAAAAAAAGAGGUCUUAGUACUGGGUUGAAAUCUAUCAACUAAUUUGAAGUGCCAGAAAAAAGGAUAGAAGACAAAAAAAUACUUGAAGAAAAAGUGCUGAAAAAUGUGCACAUUUGAUGAAAUUAUAAAGUCUCAAGAAACUCAAUGAAUUACCAAUAAAUUAGUCCCAAAGAAAACCACACAGAAGUCUAACAAAAUCGAAUUGCUUAAAAUUUAGCCAUUUGACAAAAUUUCUUAAAAGCCAAGACGGAAAAAUGAUACUCCAUACAGAACAAAUGUAAGAAGGACUAAGUCUUAUCUCCUGUCCAGAUAAAGACGGAAGUAAUCUAGAAAACAGUGGAAUGAUGUCACUAAAUUGUUAGAAAAAAACCUCUUCAACCUGAAAAGUCUAUAUUCAAUGAAAUAAUCCUUCAAGAAUGAUAACAAAUUAAACAAUAAAAAGACAAACUGAGAAAAUUGAUCACCAGAGAGUGUAAGACAUUAAGGAAAAUGUUAUAGAUGAAAAUUUUUAUGUAUGUAUAAGGAAAGAGACAAUGCCAGAGGUACUAAAUCAGAAUAUAGAGAUGGGGCAGUAUGCGUUAUGAAGGUUAAGUCAUAGCUUGGGAUGCCUGCAACCCAUAUCAGAGUACUUGGUCCCAGUCCUGGCUACUUGAUUUCCGAUCCAGCUUUCUGCUAAGUUUUGCUUAGGCAAACAGACAGUGGUUCAAGUACUGGGGAUCCUGCCACCCAUGGAGGAGACUUAGAUGGAAUUCUGGGACCCUGGCUAUGAUCUAUCUCAGCCUUGGCUGUUGUAGGCAUUUGGGUAGUGAACCAGUUGAUGAGUAAGCUCAUGACUAGGGAAAUUAUUUAACUACUAGGAUGUAGACUGCAACUGGGCAGGGGAUUUCUCUUUCUCUCUUUCUCUCUUUCUCUCUUUCUCUCUUUCUUUCCCUAGAAGAGUUCCUGGCACACAGCAGGUACCCAGUAAAUGUUGGUUGUUAAAUUCCAUUUAACAAAUCAAGAAAUUGUGGCAAAGAAGAGAUUUUGUGACUUUCAAAGAUUCAUUGUACUGUCAACAUGGCAAGCAAAUGAGAAACCUUAAAGGAGGAAGAGUGCCUUGUAGGACACUAUAUGUUUUCCCUCAGAUUUCUUUCAUAAGAAAUGGAAAUUGUGUUUUUUGUAUUAUUAAGUUAAUCCUUGGAACUGUCACCUUUCUCAUUUUAAAUAGAACUUUUCUUUUAUAACAAAAACAAAGCAGCGAUCAUUUUCCUGUUAUUCAAUACUUCCAUUAGAUGCUGCUGUGUAAAUUGCUCAGAAUGCAAGUACUCAGUGUGCCAGGAUUUUUGUAAGACAAACAAAACAUAAGAAUUUUGAUGUCUUAACAAGCAUGUUGUUUGACCCGUGUUAGAUUCAUCUACUAUAAGCCAUCAGAGCAGUGGGAGGUUAAAUCCUAUUCAAGUAAAUUUCACAAUGUGAAACGCAUGUGCAAUAGUUGCUUGGCAUUUGAAUAGGGAUAAAAUGGAAGGAAUGAAGCCAGCUUAUGUGUGUCAAAUAUUUCUAAUUUUUAAAUAAAAAAUUUAAUCACAACCAGAGAACUUAUUCUGACCAAACGACAUACAGUGUAAUUAUGUAGAGUUACAAGUCUGAUAAAUAGAACAUCUGUUAUUUUAUUUUAAGAUUAUAAACCAUAAUGAUGAUGUAUCUGUUUAGGUUAUUUUUCUUCUUUCUAAUGAGGUGACUCAAUUGAAACCUGACUCACCAAGAAUAAAUUUAAAGAUAUAAAUAUCCUCAACUAUAUUUUAUCAGCCCUUAAUUUACUCAUGUUGCAAAUGAUUUCAUACUUUAUAAAAAAUUUCAAAUAUAGGGGCUGGUGUUGUUGUUCAGUGAGUUUAACUGUCACUUGCAGUACUGUCAUCAUAUAUGGUUGCAAAAUCAAGUCCCAACUGUCCCACUUGCAAUACAGCUCUCUGCUAAUGUGCCUAGGAAAACAGCUGAAGAUUGUCCAAGUACUUGUUGCCCUGCUACCUGCAUGAGAGACCUGGAUAAAAUUCCUGGCUCCUGGUUUCCUCCUGGCUCAGCCCCUCUGUUGUGGCCUUUUGAGGAGUAGAUCAGAAAGGGGAUGAUAUCUCUCUCUCUCUCUCUCUUUCUCUCUCUUUCUCUCUCUUUCUCUAACUCUUUCAAAUAAACAAAUAAAUAUUUUAAAAAUCCAAAUAUACAAAGGUGGGAAGCUAGUUCAUCAAAUCUCCAUUCAGCCAUUGCCAGCCACAGUGAGCAUCACCUAGUUGUCAACAUUAUUUCAUCUCUUAUACUUCUGUCUGUGCUCUCACAGUCCCCAGUAAUCAUUUCAUCUUUUUUUUUUGACAGGCAGAGUUAGACAGAGAGAGAGAGAGAGACAAAGAGAAAGGUCUUCCUUUCCGUUGGUUCACCCCCCAAAUGGCUGCUACGGCCAGCAUGCUGCGCAGAUCUGAAGACAGGAGCCAGUUACUUCCUUCUGGUCUCCCAUGCGGGUGCAGGGCUCAAGCACCUGGGCCAUCCUCCACUGCCUUCCCGGGCCACAGCAGAGAGCUGGACUGGAAGAGGAGUAACCGGGACAGAAUCUGGUGCCCCACCGGGACUAGAACCCUGGGUGCCGGCACCACAGGCGGAGGAUUAGCCUAGUGAGCCACGGUGCCAGCCAUCAUUUCAUCUUUAAGACUUCCAGUGUAUAUGUGGGUAAUUCAAAAAGAUCAUAGAAACUGGAAUUAGAUGUUUAUGUUUUUUAUUUUAAAAAAAAUUAAGGUGAACAAAUUUCAUAUAUUUCUUUUUUUUAAAGAUUUAUUUAUUUACUUGAAAGUGUCAGAGUUUACACACAGAGAGAGAGAGGUCUUCCAUCUGAUGGUUCACUCCCCAAUUGGCCACAGUGGCUGGAGUUGCGCCAAUCCGAAGCCAGGAGCCAGGAGCCAGGAGCCAGGAGCCAGGAGCCAGGAGCUUCCUCUGGGUCUCCCACAUGGGUGCAGGGGCCCAAGGACUUGGGCCAUCCUCUGCUGCCUUCCCAGGCCAGAGCAGAGAGCUGGACUGGAAGUGGAGCAGCUGGAUCUCGAACAGAUACCUACAUGAGAUGCCAGCGCUUCAGGCCAGGGUGUUAACCCGCUGCACCACAGUGCCAGCCCCUCAUAUGUUUCUUAUAUGAAGAUUUUGGAACACAGUGAUAGUUCCCACCCUACACUCCCUCACACCUAGGCGCCUACCCUUCCUCUUCCUCCUUCUCUUAUUCCCUCCCUUAAUUUUUACAAUACAUUACAUUUUAAGUACCCUAUUAGUUACUUCUGAUCAGGGAAAGGAUGUGGUAUCUGUUUUUUGGGGCUGGCUCAUUUCACUAAAUAUAAUGAUUUCCAGUUGCAUCCAUUCUAUCUGUCCAAGUCCCCCAUUACUAUUGUAUUGGUGUCUAUGUCUCCGUUUAGAUGCAUUAACAUUUUUUUUUUUUUUACAGGCAGAGUGGACAGUGAGAGAGAGAGAGACAAAGAGAAAGGUCUUCCUUUUGCCGUUGGUUCACCCUCCAAUGGCCGCCGUCUCCCAUGGGGUGCAGGGCCCAAGCACUUGGGCCAUCCUCCACUGCACUCCCUGGCCACAGCAGAGAGCUGGCCUGGAAGAAGGGCAACCGGGACAGAAUCCGGUACCCCGACUGGGACUAGAACCCGGUGUGCCGGCGCCGCAAGGCGGAGGAUUAGCCUAGUGAGCCGCGGCGCCGGCCAACAUUUCUUUUAAAUAUCCAGGCCUCCUAUAAUUGUUGCAUAUACAUUUAUUAUAGUCACAUCUUCCUGUUAAUCAUUACAGAGUGUCCUUCUUUGUCUCUUUAACCGUUUUUAUGUUAAAUUCUAAUUUGUCUGGUAGUAGGAUGACAACACUUCCCUUUUUUGAUUUCUGUUAACCUGAAAUAUCUUUUUCCUUCCUUUCCCUUACAGUCUGCAUAUAUCUUUGUUGGUGAGAUGUGUUUCUUGUAGGCAGCAUUCAACCAGUCUGUAUCUUUUAACUGGAUAUUUGAAGCCAUUUUUAUUCAAGGUUUUCUAUGUCUGACCACUGUUUAUGGGUGGGGCAAAAGUCCAGUGUCAUAUAAAGAUGAAGUUGAGACUUCACACAAAGGUGUGAGCUAUAUUUCCCAGACUCCUCUCACCACGUGGUCUCAGUGAGCAUCUGUGAGUAGACUUGAACUUCAACUUGCUUCUAGGUGAACUUCAGAAUUUUCCACAUUGGUCUUGCAGACUGAGUUGGCUGUAGGAAACUUCCAGGAGAUUCUUGAGAUUCACAAUAGUUUCAUGUGAACUCAGAUAUCCCCACCCUUUGGGAGCACAAUGAACAAAUUUGUGGGAGGAGGUUCCCAGAGAUUUACCAGAUUAUCAUAAAUGUUUGUUUCCUCUGUUGGGAACCAUCACAUUGCUGCUGCAGGAUGCGAUAGUUCAUAGCUUCUCUUGAUCUUGUAUCUCAGCUCUUCCAACUUUAGGUAAAACUCUAAAUCCCGUGUUAAAACCCUCACUGUCUGCUAAAGUGUGGUGGGUACAUAAGGUCACACAACUGAGCAGAAUUAGAAACUGUUCCAGAAUUGCAGUCAGAGAAGGCUAAAGAUGGAAGAACAAAUCUCUAAGUUCCUUGUUUUACAAAUGAGGAAAUAGGUUCCACGUAAUUCAGUAACUUAUAGGGGAGAGGUAGAUUUGUAUUAUCCAAUGCUUUUCCGUCGUUUCCACUUUCAUCAUAUUAUAUUACCAUAAGACUGCACAGACAUACAAAGGUAUAGUUUUGUUUAGGCAGUUACCUGUACAUCUAUUUAUUUUGUGAAUGGGUGAUAUUCUGUUCCCCUUCACUGCCUGCCUCAUGAGAGCACCACAAAAUGUUUGUAAGAAUUGAAGGUCAAAGUGUAUCUGCUGAGAGAAGCUUGUUCAGGAUUCUAAGGAUAAAUCAGAGAAGAAUUAGCUAAAAGUGAUAUGUAAGGAUGCCUGGAAGUGAAUGGAUCACAUUAAAUAAUUGUUUUAUACCCAAGAUGGGGGUAGGAGUUUGGCACAGUUGUUAAGAUGCUGCUUGGGAUGUUUGUAUCCUGUAUUGGCAUGCCUGGAAUCAAGUCCUGGUUCUACUUCCAAUUCUAGCUUCCUGCUAAUGUAGUGAAUGAUGGCUUAAGGGUCCCUUCCACUCAUAUGGGACACCUGGAUUGAGUUCGUGGCUCCUGUUUUCAGCCUAUCUAUUGCGGGCAUUUGGGGAGUGGAAUAGAGGAUGGAAGAUUCAGUCUCUCUCUUUUUCCAUUUCAAAUAAAAUGAAAGUUUUAAAAACUGGAUGUAAGGAGAAUAAAGAAAAUUCUGUAAUAAAAUUGAAUGAAUUAAAAUUCCUUAUGAUGGUGAAGGAAAAGAAACUAUCAAGUUGUCCUAUGUUGGGAGCUGCAUAAAUAAAUACCACUUUAUCCCAAAAAUAGAAUUUUGAUAGCCUAUUAAAAUGAGUUUUAACAAUGAGUGUUAAAUAGAUUUUUUUUAACAUGGUGGUAAUUCGAACACAAGAAAGUUUCAGAAUUACAAAUAAACUACUCAGCUGUGUUUGAAGGAGAAAAAUGACAGUAAAUUUGCCAAAAUUAAGUAGAUUGCUUGGGGCUAUGAGACUAUAGGAAAUAUUUCUUUUUUUUUGUGCUGUCUGUUGUCUGAACUUUCCAAAGUACCUGUAAUGAAUAUACUAUAUUUAUCAUCAGAAGCAUAACUAAAGAUGAAAAAUUCAUGGUUUCAAAAAGCAGUAAAUAAGGUAAUUAGUCAAGAACAAAGUGAAAUUUUUCUUCCUGCUCAUUGUAUCUAGAUAAACAGAAUAUUUUCAUUAGAGCCUAAAUGCCUGCCUGACUGGCUGAGUGGCAGUUUUUUUUUUUUCUUUUUUAAGAUUUAUUUAUUUGAGAGGCAGAGGCAAAGAGAGAGAGAGAGAGAGGUCUUCCAUCCAUUGGUUCACUCCCCAAAUGGCUGCAAUGGCUGGAGCUAGGCCUAUCCAAAGCCAGGAGCCAGGAGCAGGGCCCCAAAUCGUGGGCCAUCUUCUACUGCUUUCCUAGGCCAGAGAGAGCUGUAUCAGAGGUGGAUCAGCCAGGACCUGGACUGAAUGCUGGCACUGCAGACAGUGACUUUACCCACUAUCGCAUAGCCCUGACCUCAUGGCAGUUUUUAAAAUGUUCUAUCGUGCAGGGAGAGGGAAGCACAAAUUCUUCAUGCAUGAUGUGUAACAAGUGAGGAUGGAGGGCUAUUUUCUUAAAUGAUUCUUCAAUAGGUUUAGUGCUUACUUUUUCUUUUUUUUUUUUUUUUAAUCAAAUUUGGAACUUUUAACACAUACAGUGGGAAAGCAUUCAGAUCCUUAGCUUGCUCAGAAAAAAACAUGCUGGGUAAAAUAAUCCUUUUCAUAAGAAAAAAAACACUGCUUACUUGCAAAAACUUUCUUUUAAUUCCACAUUUUUAUGACUACUAUUGAGGCAGCUCUUUACAGAAUUAUGCAAACCUCUAUCUGUAAAUUAAUAAAUAUCUGGGAUUGUUAUUUGAU